rnacentral:rRNA from 1 species
AUUGAACGCUGGCGGCAGGCCUAAUACAUGCAAGUCGAGCGGAUGAAGGGAGCUUGCUCCUGGAUUCAGCGGCGGACGGGUGAGUAAUGCCUAGGAAUCUGCCUGAUAGUGGGGGAUAACGUCCGGAAACGGGCGCUAAUACCGCAUACGUCCUGAGGGAGAAAGUGGGGGAUCUUCGGACCUCACGCUAUCAGAUGAGCCUAGGUCGGAUUAGCUAGUUGGUGGGGUAAAGGCCUACCAAGGCGACGAUCCGUAACUGGUCUGAGAGGAUGAUCAGUCACACUGGAACUGAGACACGGUCCAGACUCCUACGGGAGGCAGCAGUGGGGAAUAUUGGACAAUGGGCGAAAGCCUGAUCCAGCCAUGCCGCGUGUGUGAAGAAGGUCUUCGGAUUGUAAAGCACUUUAAGUUGGGAGGAAGGGCAGUAAGUUAAUACCUUGCUGUUUUGACGUUACCAACAGAAUAAGCACCGGCUAACUUCGUG